AGAGUUUGAUCAUGGCUCAGGACGAACGCUGGCGGCGUGCUUAACACAUGCAAGUCGAGCGGAAAGGCCCCUUCGGGGGUACUCGAGCGGCGAACGGGUGAGUAACACGUGAGCAACCUGCCCUUGACUCUGGGAUAAGCCCGGGAAACUGGGUCUAAUACCGGAUGUGACCAGCCUCCGCAUGGUGUGCUGGUGGAAAGUUUUUCGGUUGGGGAUGGGCUCGCGGCCUAUCAGCUUGUUGGUGGGGUGAUGGCCUACCAAGGCGACGACGGGUAACCGGCCUGAGAGGGCGACCGGUCACACUGGGACUGAGACACGGCCCAGACUCCUACGGGAGGCAGCAGCGGGGAAUAUUGCGCAAUGGGCGGAAGCCUGACGCAGCGACGCCGCGUGAGGGAUGACGGCCUUCGGGUUGUAAACCUCUUUCAGCAGGGACGAAGCUAACGUGACGGUACCUGCAGAAGAAGCGCCGGCUAACUACGUGCCAGCAGCCGCGGUAAUACGUAGGGCGCAAGCGUUGUCCGGAAUUAUUGGGCGUAAAGAGCUCGUAGGCGGUUUGUCGCGUCUGUCGUGAAAGCCCACGGCUUAACCGUGGGUCUGCGGUGGAUACGGGCAGACUAGAGGCAGGUAGGGGAGAAUGGAAUUCCCGGUGUAGCGGUGAAAUGCGCAGAUAUCGGGAGGAACACCGGUGGCGAAGGCGGUUCUCUGGGCCUGUACUGACGCUGAGGAGCGAAAGCGUGGGGAGCGAACAGGAUUAGAUACCCUGGUAGUCCACGCCGU
rnacentral:rRNA from 1 species